GUUACCUCGUUUUGAGGUUGCACUUGCGUGUUAAUAGCCAAGUUCUUUGGCCGAAUUUGGUGGUUAGAGAAUC
ncrna:unclassified sequences L13-Bacteroidia ribosomal protein leader